rnacentral:snRNA from 1 species
GGAGUGUGGGGACAUUCCCGCCAUGAGGCGGGUCACCACACUGAUCACCAGGGUCAAUGCGACUGACCUGGGUGGCUAGGAGGCUACCUGCUUCCUCCCUCGCCAUGGCUCCAUGUGUGUCCCCCUGAAGCUGCCUGCUUGGUGAAGAAAAAAAGACCUUCCCUGAGCGAGGAGGACAGAUCUUCCAUCAAGGGGCGCACAGACAGCUAUGCUGCUCUGCUGAAACUGUCAAUCUCCCCAGGGUGUGAACUAGCCAACAACAACGUUAUGUUAAUAAUAGUAAAGAUUUGGGGGAGGGGUAAGUGGGCUCUGAUACCAAAGUGGGUUUUACCCUUUUU